rnacentral:lncRNA from 1 species
GACUCGAGUUGAAUGGCACACUGAGGUUUGCGAUUUUGCACACGUACAAAUCUGAAAAAUCUGAUGGAAAUGGGGUCUUUUUUCGGUGGAUUAUUACUCGGCAUUGAGCUACGAAAUGGAUGGCGAUUUUGAGAAACGAAUCGAAUAGAUUUGACAGCAAAAUCAACCCGGAAUCCACAGCACAUUUCAUCCUAUGAGCAGUUUGUUCGAUCUUGAAAUUACAGACGAGGGAACGCGAAAGAAAGAAAAGAAGGCGGCAAAUGAGGAAAUGUAUACGGCUCGAGAAGAGGCGGGAAGAGAGGGGGGUAAUUAACCGGCCGCGCCGCGCGUCUUUUUAAUCCGUCCCCGCCGCCGCCGUCGACGACGGUGGCACCGGCGAUGAUAUGGACAAUGCCGCCGCCGGCGUGCUGCCGUUGCUGUGCGCGACCACGUGGCUGGAAGGAACGACCGUGAUGGUCUUCGUGGAGGUGGUGGAGCUCGUCGGCCUCAGCGCUCUCAUUGGGCUGGCCAGCGCCGCCCACGCCCAGCUCCGGUGGCUCCGGCCGCCCGACUUCCUCGCGCCGCCACCGGAUGCGGCCGCGCCCUCCGCCGCGGAGAGCCAGUAGGAGGGCG